UCGGACGAAACGAGCCAACCGUAUGUAUUAAAUGUCUAUCACCCAAAAUUGUUGUCCUGAUUAUGUAAAAAUAGGAAGUAUAGAAAUGGUACUAAAAUAUUAUGAUAAUAAUAAGUAAAAUCACGGGGCGUUUAAGACCUGACCAAUCUUGACUCCCUCAAUGAUGAUAGACAGGUGCUUAUUUCAUUUAUUCAUUUUUAUUCUUAUCAUUUUUACUCGUAUUCAUUUGUAAUCUUUUUUACCUUACUCUCCUUUUAUUCUCAUUAUAAUCACUGUGUUGUUACAUAAUUCUCAUUUGAUAUUAAGUCGAAAAAUAUCAUUUAAACAAUGGUUUUCUUGUAUUCCGCAAUAGUAUUCCGCGUCUUGCGGUUACAAUGGUUGAUGAAUGCAUGUUUCACAAUUGUCAUAUUAAUAAAUGUGUCAAAAUUAAUUAUAUCGUCUGCCACUUUUGUUUUUAUGAUUUAAUUCCUAUCACCAUUCAACCUUUGUAGAUUAAUCAAAGGUUGUGUCCUCGCUCACAACGGGCCGCUUGA